GAGCAUGUGCACGUGGCUUUUACCCUUUCAAACACACAGUCAACCCUGGUUCAACCCUGGUUGAGCCCUCGGAAUGAAACAGCUGUAGAAGUGGAUACAGGGUGGAGGUGGGGCAGGGCAGC